AAAGUAGAUCGUUUGAUUUAAUCAUCAUGAAGAUUGCAAUGUUUUCUAUCAUUUGUGCCAUUUUACUAUUAGAUACAUGUCCUCCAAUGGCACCAAGAUGCAACGUACCUCCACCUCCACCUCAAUCGUAAAAGAAAAAUAUGAAAUGCGUCUUGCGGAUCAGUUAGAGUACAUUUCGCAUUGUUAAAAUCGGUAGCAUGAUCUAAUAAAGAUUCUAUUUGCUUCGAAA